GACGAACGCUGGCGGCGUGCCUAACACAUGCAAGUCGAACGGGGAUAUGAUUUCGGUUGUAUCCCAGUGGCGAACGGGUGAGUAACGCGUGAGCAACCUGUCCUUUUAGGGGGAUAACACUUGGAAACAGGUGCUAAUACCGCAUAAGACCACGGGUCCGCAUGGACCAGAGGUCAAAGGAGCAAUCCGCAGAAGGAGGGGCUCGCGUCCCAUUAGGUAGAUGGCGGGGUAACGGCCCACCAUGCCUUCGAUGGGUAGCCGAGCUGAGAGGCUGAUCGGCCACACUGGAACUGAGACACGGUCCAGACUCCUACGGGAGGCAGCAGUGGGGAAUAUUGGGCAAUGGGCGAAAGCCUGACCCAGCAACGCCGCGUGAGGGAAGAAGGCCUUCGGGUUGUAAACCUCUGUCCUUGGUGACGAAAAAAAUGACGGUAGCCAAGGAGGAAGCCCCGGCUAACUACGUG
rnacentral:rRNA from 1 species